rnacentral:rRNA from 1 species
AGCGCAGACGGUGUGGCAAGUCUGACGUGAAAGGCAUGGGCUCAACCUGUGGACUGCAUUGGAAACUGUCAUACUUGAGUGCCGGAGGGGUAAGCGGAAUUCCUAGUGUAGCGGUGAAAUGCGUAGAUAUUAGGAGGAACACCAGUGGCGAAGGCGGCUUACUGGACGGUAACUGACGUUGAGGCUCGAAAGCGUGGGAGCAAACA